AGGCUAAUGACGAUAAACUUUUAUAUCUUAGCGGAUUUCAGUGAGAUUUUAUCAAUGAUCUGAAUGUUACACACACUGAAGUCU